AAAGGGUGCGUAGGCGGCCUGUUAAGUCAGAGGUGAAAGACGGUAGCUCAACUAUCGCAGUGCCUUUGAUACUGAUGGGCUUGAAUGGACUAGAGGUAGGCGGAAUGAGACAAGUAGCGGUGAAAUGCAUAGAUAUGUCUCAGAACACCGAUUGCGAAGGCAGCUUACUAUGGUUUUAUUGACGCUGAGGCACGAAAGCGUGGGGAUCAAACAGGAUUAGAUACCCUUGU
rnacentral:rRNA from 1 species